rnacentral:ncRNA from 1 species
AAACCGUCUUCAUCAAAUUAAUGAACUUAAAAACUAGUCACUGUCGCUCAUCCUAAUCAGAUCUGAAUAUUUCAUCUUGAAUUCUAAUUUAAUCAAAAUUCUCAUUUACACCAAGCGCGGGUAAACGACGGGAGUAACUGUGACUCUCUUACGGUAGCCAAAUGCCUCGUCAUAUAAUUCAUGACGCGCAUGAAUGGAUUAACGAGAUU